UGGCAGGCCUAACACAUGCAAGUCGAGCGGUAGCACAGAGAGCUUGCUCUCGGGUGACGAGCGGCGGACGGGUGAGUAAUGUCUGGGAAACUGCCUGAUGGAGGGGGAUAACUACUGGAAACGGUAGCUAAUACCGCAUAACGUCGCAAGACCAAAGUGGGGGACCUUCGGGCCUCAUGCCAUCAGAUGUGCCCAGAUGGGAUUAGCUAGUAGGUGGGGUAACGGCUCACCUAGGCGACGAUCCCUAGCUGGUCUGAGAGGAUGACCAGCCACACUGGAACUGAGACACGGUCCAGACUCCUACGGGAGGCAACAGUGGGGAAUAUUGCACAAUGGGCGCAAGCCUGAUGCAGCCAUGCCGCGUGUGUGAAGAAGGCCUUCGGGUUGUAAAGCACUUUCAGCGGGGAGGAAGGCGAUAAGGUUAAUAACCUUGGCGAUUGACGUUACCCGCAGAAGAAGCACCGGCUAACUCCGUGCCAGCAGCCGCGGUAAUACGGAGGGUGCAAGCGUUAAUCGGAAUUACUGGGCGUAAAGCGCACGCAGGCGGUCUGUCAAGUCGGAUGUGAAAUCCCCGGGCUUAACCUGGGAACUGCAUUCGAAACUGGCAGGCUAGAGUCUUGUAGGGGGGGGUAGAAUUCCAGGUGUAGCGGUGAAAUGCGUAGAGAUCUGGAGGAAUACCGGUGGCGAAGGCGGCCCCCUGGACAAAGACUGACGCUCAGGUGCGAAAGCGUGGGGAGCAAACAGGAUUAGAUACCCUGGUAGUCCACGCCGUAAACGAUGUCGACUUGGAGGUUGUGCCCUUGAGGCGUGGCUUCCGGAGCUAACGCGUUAAGUCGACCGCCUGGGGAGUACGGCCGCAAGGUUAAAACUCAAAUGAAUUGACGGGGGCCCGCACAAGCGGUGGAGCAUGUGGUUUAAUUCGAUGCAACGCGAAGAACCUUACCUGGUCUUGACAUCCACGGAAGUUUUCAGAGAUGAGAAUGUGCCUUCGGGAACCGUGAGACAGGUGCUGCAUGGCUGUCGUCAGCUCGUGUUGUGAAAUGUUGGGUUAAGUCCCGCAACGAGCGCAACCCUUAUCCUUUGUUGCCAGCGGUCCGGCCGGGAACUCAAAGGAGACUGCCAGUGAUAAACUGGAGGAAGGUGGGGAUGACGUCAAGUCAUCAUGGCCCUUACGACCAGGGCCACACACGUGCUACAAUGGCGCAUACAAAGAGAAGCGACCUCGCGAGAGCAAGCGGACCUCAUAAAGUGCGUCGUAGUCCGGAUUGGAGUCUGCAACUCGACUCCAUGAAGUCGGAAUCGCUAGUAAUCGUGGAUCAGAAUGCCACGGUGAAUACGUUCCCGGGCCUUGUACACACCGCCCGUCACACCAUGGGAGUGGGUUGCAAAAGAAGUAGGUAGCUUAACCUUCGGGAGGGCGCUUACCACUUUGUGAUUCAUG
rnacentral:rRNA from 1 species